CGAAAGCCUGACGGAGCAACGCCGCGUGAGGGAUGAAGGCCUCUGGGCUGUAAACCUCUUUUAUCAAGGAAGAAGAUCUGACGGUACUUGAUGAAUAAGCCACGGCUAAUUCCGUGCCAGCAGCCGCGGUAAUACGGGAGUGGCAAGCGUUAUCCGGAAUUAUUGGGCGUAAAGCGUCCGCAGGCGGCCCAACAAGUCUGCUGUUAAAAAGUGGAGCUUAACUCCAUCAUGGCAGUGGAAACUGUUGGGCUCGAGUGUGGUAGGGGCAGAGGGAAUUCCCGGUGUAGCGGUGAAAUGCGUAGAUAUCGGGAAGAACACCAGUGGCGAAGGCGCUCUGCUGGGCCAUCACUGACGCUCAUGGACGAAAGCCAGGGGAGCG
rnacentral:rRNA from 1 species